UACAGAGGGGGCAAGCGUUGUUCGGAAUUACUGGGCGUAAAGGGCGCGUAGGCGGCCUGUUAAGUCGAACGUGAAAUCCCCGGGCUCAACCCGGGAACUGCGUCCGAUACUGGCAGGCUUGAAUCCGGGAGAGGGAUGCGGAAUUCCAGGUGUAGCGGUGAAAUGCGUAGAUAUCUGGAGGAACACCGGUGGCGAAGGCGGCAGCCUGGACCGACACUGACACUGAGGAGCGAAAGCCAGGGGAGCAAACGGG
rnacentral:rRNA from 1 species